UGUGCCAGCCGCCGCGGUAAUACGGAGGACCCGAGCGUUAUCCGGAUUCAUUGGGUUUAAAGGGAGCGUAGGCGGCCCGGUAAGUCAGCGGUGAAAGGCUCCUGCUCCACAGGAGAGCUGCCGUUGAUACUGCUGGGCUAGAAUCUUAGCGAGGCGGGCGGAAUGCGCGGUGUAGCGGUGAAAUGCAUAGAUAUCGCGCAGAACGCCGAUUGGGGAGCCAGCUCGCCAGCUGAGUAUUGACGCUGAGGCACGAAAGCGUGGGGAUCGAACAGGAUUAGAUACCCUGGUAGUCCACGCCGUAAACGAUGAUGGCUCGCUCUUGGCCCGCAAGGGUCAGGGGCUUAGCGAAAGCGUUAAGCCAUCCACCUGGGGAGUACGCCGGCAACGGUGAAACUCAAAGGAAUUGACGGGGGCCCGCACAAGCGGAGGAACAUGUGGUUUAAUUCGAUGAUACGCGAGGAACCUUACCCAGGCUCGAACGCCGAACGAAUGUGGGGGAAACUUCACAGCCAACAAUGGCGGUCGGCGAGGUGCUGCAUGGUUGUCGUCAGCUCGUGCCGUGAGGUGUCGGCUUAAGUGCCAUAACGAGCGCAACCCCUAUCGGUAGUUGCCAGCGGGUCAAGCCGGGAACUCUACCGAGACUGCCAGCGCAAGCUGCGAGGAAGGCGGGGAUGACGUCAAAUCAGCACGGCCCUUACGUCUGGGGCGACACACGUGUUACAAUGGCCGGUACAGAGGGCAGCCACCCAGCGAUGGGGCGCGAAUCUCGAAAGCCGGUCGUAGUUCGGAUCGGAGGCUGCAACCCGCCUCCGUGAAGCUGGAUUCGCUAGUAAUCGCGCAUCAGCCAUGGCGCGGUGAAUACGUUCCCGGGCCUUGUACACACCGCCCGUCAAACCAUGGGAGCUGGGGGGACCUGAAGUGCGUGACCGCAAGGAGCGCCCUAGGGUAAAACCGGUGACUGGGGUUA
rnacentral:rRNA from 1 species